GCCAAAUGAUGUUUAAAAUAGCUCGAUGAGCGCUCUGUGCAAAGAUGACACCCAUCUAUCACCCAAAACUGAUGGCU